GACGAACGCUGGCGGCGUGCUUAACACAUGCAAGUCGAACGGAAAGGCCCUGCUUUUGUGGGGUGCUCGAGUGGUGAACGGGUGAGUAACACGUGAGUAACCUGCCCUUGACCUUGGGAUAACUUCAGGAAACUGGGGCUAAUACCGGAUAGGAGCUCCUGCUGCAUGGUGGGGGUUGGAAAGUUUCGGCGGUUGGGGAUGGACUCGCGGCUUAUCAGCUUGUUGGUGGGGUAGUGGCUUACCAAGGCUUUGACGGGUAGCCGGCCUGAGAGGGUGACCGGCCACAUUGGGACUGAGAUACGGCCCAGACUCCUACGGGAGGCAGCAGUGGGGAAUAUUGCACAAUGGGCGGAAGCCUGAUGCAGCAACGCCGCGUGCGGGAUGACGGCCUUCGGGUUGUAAACCGCUUUCGCCUGUGACGAAGCGUGAGUGACGGUAAUGGGUAAAGAAGCACCGGCUAACUACGUG
rnacentral:rRNA from 1 species